GAUUCCGUAGCUCAGUUGGUAGAGCAAUACACUUUUAAUGUAUGGGCCCUGGGUUCAAGUCCCAGCGGGAUCACAA
rnacentral:tRNA from 1 species